CAGGCCUAACACAUGCAAGUCGAGCGAGAAAGUGACUUCGGUCACGAGUAAAGCGGCGAACGGGUGAGUACAACGUGGAUAAUCUACCCUAGGGUCUGGGACAACCCCGAGAAAUCGGAGCUAAUACCGGAUAAGACCACAGUAUCCAAGGAUACAGUGGUAAAAGAUUUAUCGCCUUUGGAUGAGUCCACGUCCCAUCAGGUAGUUGGUAAGGUAAAAGCUUACCAAGCCUAAGACGGGUAGCCGGCCUUAGCGGGUGAACGGCCACAUGGGGACUGAGACACGGCCCUGACUCCUACGGGAGGCAGCAGUGGGGAAUAUUGGGCAAUGGGCGAAAGCCUGACCCAGCGAUGCCGCGUGAGGGAUGAAGGCCUUCGGGUUGUAAACCUCUGUCAGGAGGGACGAUGGGACACUUGUGUCUUGACGGUACCUCCAGAGGAAGCCCCGGCUAACUCCGUGCCAGCAGCCGCGGUAAUACGGAGGGGGCAAGCGUUGCUCGGAAUUACUGGGCGUAAAGGGUCCGCAGGCUGUCAGGCAAGUUGGUUGUGAAAGCUCAAGGUUUAACCUUGGAAUUGCAUCCAAAACUGCCUGACUAGAG
rnacentral:rRNA from 1 species